UUGGAGGGCAAGUCUGGUGCCAGCAGCCGCGGUAAUUCCAGCUCCAAUAGCGUAUAUUAAAGUUGUUGCAGUUAAAAAGCUCGUAGUUGAAUUUCGGGGUUAGUAGGCUGGUCAUGCCACAGGUAUGCACUGGUCUUACUGAUUCCUCCUUCCUGAUGAACCGUAAUGCCAUUAAUUUGGUGUUGCGGGGAGUCUGGACUGUUACUUUGAAAAAUUAGAGUGUUUAAAGCAGGCUAACGCUUGAAUACAUUAGCAUGGAAUAACGAAAUAGGACGUUCGAUCUUAUUUUGUUGGUUUCUAGGAUUGACGUAAUGAUUAAUAGGGAUAGUUGGGGGCAUUAGUAUUCAAUUGUCAGAGGUGAAAUUCUUGGAUUUAUUGAAGACUAACUACUGCGAAAGCAUUUGCCAAGGAUGUUUUCAUUAAUCAAGAACGAAAGUUAGGGGAUCGAAGACGAUCAGAUACCGUCGUAGUCUUAACCAUAAACUAUGCCGACUAGGGAUCGGAUGAUGUUAAUUUUUAAUGUACUCAUUCGGCGCC
rnacentral:rRNA from 1 species